rnacentral:rRNA from 1 species
AUACGUAGGCGGCAAGCGUUGUCCGGAAUUAUUGGGCGUAAAGCGCGCGCAGGCGGUCCUUUAAGUCUGAUGUGAAAGCCCACGGCUCAACCGUGGAGGGUCAUUGGAAACUGGGGGACUUGAGUGCAGAAGAGGAAAGUGGAAUUCCCAGUGUAGCGGUGAAAUGCGUAGAGAUUUGGAGGAACACCAGUGGCGAAGGCGACUUUCUGGUCUGUAACUGACGCUGAGGCGCGAAAGCGUGGGGAGCAAACAGGAUUAGAUACCCUGGUAGUCCACGCCGUAAACGAUGAGUGCUAAGUGUUAGGGGGUUUCCGCCCCUUAGUGCUGCAGCUAACGCAUUAAGCACUCCGCCUGGGGAGUACGGUCGCAAGACUGAAACUCAAAUGAAUUGACGGGG